UACGGAGGGUGCAAACGUUGCUCGGAAUCAUUGGGCGUAAAGCGCACGUAGGUGGUUUGUUAAGUCGGGUGUGAAAUCCCUGGGCUCAACCCAGGAAGUGCACUCGAAACUGGCAGACUUGAGUACUGAAGAGGGUCGCGGAAUUCCCGGUGUAGAGGUGAAAUUCGUAGAUAUCGGGAGGAACACCAGUGGCGAAGGCGACUCUUUGGCCUGUAACUGACGCUGAGGCGCGAAAGCGUGGGGAGCAAACAGG
rnacentral:rRNA from 1 species